rnacentral:tRNA from 1 species
AUUAAGUUAGUUUAAAGAAGAACAUUAGGAUGUGGGCCUAAAAAUAAAAUUAGUUUUACUUAAUA